rnacentral:rRNA from 1 species
GCGCGAAACCUCCGCAAUGCGAGCAAUCGCGACGGGGGGACCCCAAGUGCCACUCUUAACGGGGUGGCUUUUCAUAAGUGUAAAAGCUUUUGGAAUAAGAGCUGGGCAAGACCGGUGCCAGCCGCCGCGGUAACACUGGCAGCUCAAGUGGUGGCCGUUUUUAUUGGGCCUAAAGCGUUCGUAGCCGGUUUGAUAAGUCUCUGGUGAAAUCCUACAGCUUAACUGUGGGAAUUGCUGGAGAUACUAUCAGACUUGAGGUCGGGAGAGGUUAGAGGAACUCCCAGGGUAGGGGUGAAAUCCUAUAAUCCUGGGAGGACCACCUGUGGCGAAGGCGUCUAACUGGAACGAACCUGACGGUGAGUAACGAAAGCCAGGGGCGCGAACCGGAUUAGAGACCCU